UAGCCAAAAAGAAUAACACGUAGGCCAUUCAACGUAUUGGUUGCGUUUUUAUGUGACACAAUAUCCAGUUCUUCUCGUAGCAUAUUUGGCGCUAGUCUCUCUCAAGCCGUUUUCAUCUUUUCUGACUUCUUUUUUUUCUUUUUGUAUUUGACGUCAUCGCGGAGGGUGGGGGGCGAGGGGAAUGAGUGUUGGAGCUUUUCCGAGUUGAAAAAUGUAAAAAGGUCCGUUGAGCCUCAGCGUUGCAGGAAGACACCAGUCACGAGGGAAUGAGUUCGUUUUAUUUUUUUUUAAGGCUUUCUUCGUUUCUUAAAUAGACAUAAGCCUUUCAUAGCAUCUGCUUCUCUUCUCAUCUGUUCACCCACAGAACUUCUAGUUUCACACGCACAGAAAAGAGAACAAGGGACAGAACUUUCGGAAGAAUUCUGCAAUCUGCAGUUUCAUGGACUGUGAUGAAGAAAGUGUAAUCAUGAAGAAACCAGAAGAAAGUGUAUAUGAGAGUUAACAGUGGCAUGAAGAGUGAACUGUGACCGCGGUGUAAUGCUGAAGACAUUGACCAUGAAAUCCCCCGAAAAUACUGCGUGAUACUGGUUCAUCAUGCUUUCUUUGGCGCUCUAAAUAAGACAUUCCUGCCCAGAAGCAUGCGCAGUUGGCGAACUUUAAUGAUGGGAACUGUGAAAAUAUAAAGAGAAUGAAGAGAAACGACAUGAAAUUUGGGGAUUUUUCUUCAAUCACCAUGAUGAUUUUUGACGCUAUAUUAUUUAGUAGAUCUUCACCAAGCAUUUGGAGGUACAUGGCGACUCUUCUUCAGGGUAUAAGUCGAGCGUAAGAAGAAGUAAGGAUAUUGGGAGUGCCAGAAACAGGAUUAGAUGCACGACUGAACCGACAGUGUAACAAGCAAAGUCUACAGAAAAUAUGGCAUUUAAAGUAUUUAUUUCCGUGGGCAGGGAGACAGGACGAAGUAGCGGACGGGUGAAGUAAUACGUGGCUUUGUCUUUGGAAAUCACUGUACUAAGAAAGCACGGAUCCGCUGAGGCCGUUGGCUGCAGUACAUGGCCGAAUCUAAGAUCGAAUUACAUUUAUACUCCGAAGAUGGAGGCAACAGGUACAUCUCAAACGUUGGUACCCUUUUACAGAUUACACGACGUUACAACACGGAAGAGCAUUUUAUUAAUAUUUACCGCAUUGAAAACCAAGAUUUCAUAUUUUUGUGUCAAAGAACACUGAAAUAAUUUUUUCGUUGCUAGAUGGAGCUCAAGUUUCUUGGGACAGAAAAUAGGUUAUAAAUAACUGUGAGGUCUUCAGAUGAAGUAACUCAUGUUUGUAAAAUAUUAUGUGAAAAUAAAAGAAUUUUUUUAAUUAACAAUUAUUUCUCAUCCUAUGUGGUGUACGGAAUUAGGAACUUUGCAUCAUUAUGAAAAUAAAAGAUAUAAAGGCCGUA